UACUCCGGGUAUAGUCUUUACCUCGAUGAUUCCUCCAAAGUCCAACCUGAAUAACUUUGCUAGCAAUAGAUAGCAUCUCAUCAUCUGGCUGUGGGCAAUUGCUAUGGCUUUCCCUUGCUGGGUUUUGCGAUCAUCACCCAUAACCAUAAAACCACAAGUGUGCACACCAAGUGUUGGACGAAAUUCGUGUGUGAAUUAUCUGUGCCCUGGUGCUGGUGGAGGUAGGUUGAAGAUAAUGGAUUGCAUAAUCUUUGGUAUAAUUCCCAUUUUGUGCCCGCAGACUUUUGCAAGGAAUGGUAGGGUGGCUUUCAUGGUGCUUCCUAGUAGUACAAGGAGAAGCCUGCCCAAGAACCUUCGCUACCCGCGGCAAGCAAAGCUUCCUCCUGAUCUCGGAAUCAACCAAUUCUUGAACAAGACAAGCAAUGAUUCCAGUGAGCCCUUACAAGGUUCGACCUUCGGGACUUCCUUGGCCCAAGAGAAAUGCUGUUAAUAUUGGACCCAUAUCUAAGCAAGUGUACAAGAACCCCAAUGCCCUUGUUGGUUUGGCAAGGGAAAUUAGAAGCCUUGGAGCAGAUAAAGAUGUGGGGAUAGUUCUGAACAAGAGGGUUCAGUUUCUGCUAAAAGGGUCUCUCUCCAUGACAAUUCGGGAAUUGGGUCACAUGGGGCUUCCUGAGAAGGCUCUGCAGACCUUCUGUUGGGGUCAGAAACAGCCUCAGCUCUGCCCUGAUGACCGGAUUUUGAGUUCGACAGUGGAGGUCCUGGUGAGCUGAAACUGCCGUUUAAUUUGGACAAGUUCACUAGUUCUGCAAGUCGUGGUGUGAUUGAGGCAAUGGUGAGAGGUUUCAUUAAAGGAGGAAGUUUGCAUCUAGCUUGGAGGUUAGUGUCGAUAGCGGAAGAUAAUUAAAGGGAGCCCUUAAAUAUAUCAACUAAUUCAGCUUCUCAAUUUGUAGUUCAGUCCGUUACUUCGACAUCUUGUGGUCAAUAUAGAUCUCAAAAAACUAAGGUCCCCAUUUUGUCUUGCUGUUAUUGCACCCCUGCUCCUGGUGUCAUAAUGUCCCUGCAUUGAAAUAAGUAAGCUAUAAGGUACAAUUUGUAUGCUUUGUCACUGUAUAUCUCGUAUGCUUUUCCAGUGGAGUGUCAACUCAACACAUUUGGAGCUGAAGUUAAACUCCCAGUGAAGUGCACCUAGACAAGCUAAUUUGGUUCUAUCAGCUUUAUCUCUCCCCCUUUACUAGGUUUUCAAUCAUUUCUUUCACAGCUGUUUCACCUUUCCAAGCCUUUAAUUCACUUUUGUCUUUCUAGCUUGUGCUUGAUCAUUAUUGCUUUUCUUCUUCAAAUUUGGUCCGUUUUAGGCUGUUUCAGUCUUUUCUGUGUCUGAGAAUUAGACCACAAAUUUGAGGUAUAAGUAGCAAUGCGGUUAAUAUUCUGAUUCAUUAAUGAGCAAGCAUUCCUUAAUUUGGGUGUCCUUCAUACUUGUCACCUACCAUUCGUUACUGAAAAAAAAAAAAGUCUCUUCCAAGAAUCGAAACAGAAAAUAUAAGAGAGUAAAGAAAACUAACAUGGUUUUUAGUGGACCCUAAUUGCUGUAUAACUUUCUAAGUUAGAUAAUGUAGUUUAGUUUGCUUUGUCUGUAGAUAGACAGUGACAAUACAUAACUGUAUUGAUUUGUAUGUUGUAUUGUAUUACCCUUCCCACUGUGCUGGCAUUUAUGAGUUGCUAAACUUCACUUAAGAAAAAGAGAUGACUAAUUCAUAUCACAAACAGAUACAGAUAGUGACAUUGUUAAGCGGUGUGAAGUUCUCAUUCAGAAUGGUUUCAGUCAGAUAUUGUAUCUUUCCUAUCGAUGACUUUAUACGAAAAAGCAUGAUUAAUUGUCUUUCGACGAAGACUGAUUUCAAGAAGAAGAAGCAAAAAGGAUUGUUUGGGAGCCGGAAGCUAUUCAGUUACUCAUCAAAAAGAGUAUACCCCAAAAGCCUGGAAGUUUGAAUAGACAAAGGCCGAUCCCACUUUCAACCUUUGAGACUUCGUACGCCAGAAGAACAUAUUAACAUGGGAGUGGGACCUGCAUCAGAGUAAGUCUGCUGAACCCAGAUAUGCUUUCAAGUUUCAAGGAAGUGCAGAUGAAGAUGUGGCAACCUAAACAAGUGAGUUCAAUUUCACUGAAAAGUGUCUGUCUCUCAUUUUGUUGUGUUCAGAACGCCUCAGCUCUACCCUGAUAACCAGAUUUCGGGUUGGACAGGUGAGGUGCCGUUCAAUUUGGAUGCUUUCAGUUGUUUGGCUGGUGGUUGUGUGAGACGGUUCAUUAGAGGAAGCUUUCACUAGCUUGAAGCUUGUAUUGCAAAGGAUAGUGAAAGAAGAUCCGAGCAUAUAAGAAGUAGCUAACACUGAAGCUUGGGAGGAACCUUCUUGUAAUGAACUUACUGGACAAUCUUGGAGAAAGAGAAGACUUGAAUUUAAGCCAGCAGCAAAAAAGGCCCAUCUCUCUGUGAAAAUCUGGAAUCGGUUCAUAUGGGGCUCUCUGAUAAUUCUCUGAAGUUGUGUUUUUUAUUUCCUCAGCUGUACCCUGAUGAUCAGAUUUGGGUUGGACAGGUGAUAUCCUGCCAAGGAAAUGAACUCAAUUCAAUUUGGACACUUUCAUCGAGGCAACAUUUAGACGGUUCAUUAUAGGAAGCUUUCAUCUGCUUGGAGGCAGAUAGCCAAGGAUAGUUAAAGAAUUCACUUGAUGUAUUGCGAGAUUUGAUCAAAAUUCACUUGGUUUCUGGGAGUCUGGCAAAAAUGUUUCCUAGGAGGUAGAGAUGGCAUCACUCAAGUGAGAUAAAGGAAAAAUAUUUCAGUUGUUGCAGUGCAGAGAGAAAAGGGUGAGUCAAGCUUUGCAUUGGAAAGCACAUGAAUGCCUGGAGAAACCUCUUGAAUGAGAACCGGCUUUCCUUUUGGCCUGUUGGAGAGGUAAACCAUGGUUUUGGACUGAAGACCUGCGAAUAUCAUUAUACUGGCCAAGGUUUGGAAUGCUAAUCUUCUCAGGGCUUGUCUUCCUAUUGAUAUUGUUGAUCACAUCAUCAGUAUUCUCAUUUCUCUUUGAGGAAAUGCUCACAGAAGUGUCAAGAGUGGCACGUCUAAGGGAAUGUUCUUUGUUAGGUGUGGAACUUUAUUGCAAUUGCACCUCACUAUAGGUCGAAAGGUAUCUGAAAUCUUCCUAUCCCACCCAAAUUGAAAAAAAAUUCUAGAUUUUUGGUUCAAGGUAGACUGCUGAGAGAUGAGCAGAGAUUUAGGAGCAAGCUUAAUCUGAUCCUUCUUGCCAUUUCUGCCACGGGAAACAAGAUUCUAUGCUUCACUUAUUGUUGAAUUUCCUGAAGCUCAGCAGGUUUGGUUGAAUGUUGGCAUUCCUGCUAGAAUGCCUCCUUCAUUUACUCUAGGAUGGACUGAAAAGCUUGCUGCAAAUCUCAAGCAGAAGGAUUGUUUGUUGAGGGAUAUUACGUAGCUUUUAUUUUCUGCUUCUGGUUCACAUGGAAGUGGAGCUGCAAAGGUGUGUUUGACCCAAACUUUUCUCUUCCUCAUAUCAUUCCUGCCCCUCUUUUUAAUUAUGCUAGUGAAUGAGUUGCUGCUACUAGUAAGAGUGCUA